rnacentral:rRNA from 1 species
GAUGAACGCUAGCGGCAGGCUUAACACAUGCAAGUCGAGGGGUAUAGUAGCAAUACUAGAGACCGGCGCACGGGUGCGUAACGCGUAUGCAAUCUACCUUUUACAGAGGGAUAGCCCAGAGAAAUUUGGAUUAAUACCUCAUAGCAUUGCAUGAUGGCAUCAUCGAGCAAUUAAAGUCACAACGGUAAAGAUGAGCAUGCGUCCCAUUAGCUAGAUGGUAAGGUAACGGCUUACCAUGGCUACGAUGGGUAGGGGUCCUGAGAGGGAGAUCCCCCACACUGGUACUGAGACACGGACCAGACUCCUACGGGAGGCAGCAGUGAGGAAUAUUGGACAAUGGGCGCAAGCCUGAUCCAGCCAUGCCGCGUGCAGGAUGACGGUCCUA